rnacentral:siRNA from 1 species
UGGCUUCAAAAACAUCACUGU